rnacentral:sRNA from 1 species
AGUUUUCACCUAUCGCGGGGCGGCGGAGUCAGUGCCGUCGUACCCGCGGUAGCUUUUAUGCACGCCAGGAGGGCAGGCGCCAAGGAUGGCGCGAU